UAACAAUUUUGGACAUGAUUAUUUUUAUCUUGUUUUUCUGUUAUUUCGGUUCUAAAUUCGAUUGUAUUAUCAGCUUGUUUUUCUCAGUGAGACAAAGAUGCACUUAUGGGAUCGAGCUGUACCCUUCGAAUAAUCUACUUUCUUGUUCUCUCCAGUUCUUUUUUGCUAUUUUCUUUCUCCCUUUUUCUGUCCUUGUUGGUAGCUUUGAGUUUGCAUUGCUCUUUCUCUCUAGUUUCUUUGUCUAAUUUUGAUAAUUCCGUUUUGCUUACGUCACUGUCUUGUUUGCUACCCCGUCUUCAACGCUCGAUGAUCCAUUCUGUCUCUGAAUUUCGUGAGUGGAGGUUGUAAAUUUAACUUUUUCCUUUGAUUCCAUUUUUAUUUAGCUUAUGCUAAAUUUUUCUAUUUAUUACAAUAUGUAGUUGAUCAGAGACAGAUUUCAUUCAUCACAAGUUGUGAUAUUAUUAUUAUUUUCUUUAUUUUUUUUUAUUUCCUUUUUAAAUAUGUAAAUUUUCUUGUUUGUUAUAAAAAAAAAAAAAAAAAGUAAUCAUGUCCGAAAAUUUAAUUGAGUUAAAAAUUUAAUUCUAGCUGGCCUAAGUUAUGGCAAUUUAUUUAUAUUUGUUGAAAACCUCAUUCAUCACAUAUGUAUCCAUAGUAAUUUCUACAAUUUCCGCUGUACAGCGGUCAUAGACUCGUAGACUCGUAGACUCGUAGUAUCACAGGAUGUCUUAGUUAUGGCCAUGGAAGCUGAAUCCUUGCUGACCAACUCAUCACAAGGAAACCAAUAUUUCCAGAAAAGAUCUAAAUUCGCCGUAAAAAGGAUACUUCAAGAACUUCUUGUGCAGUGAAAAAUUAAUAAGUGAAAAAUUGAAUAAAGUGUACGGAGGCCUCCUCACUUCAAUACACCAGGUAUUUACGAAACAACCAAUAUUAAUUUAUGGAAAAUUCACAGGCAACUACUUCGUAAAAAUAAAUGGGACAGGAUAAUAAAUAAAUUGUAAUUACUUGAUUUAAAUUUUGUUUAUUUUUUGGAAAUUCUAUUUAUUUGAUCUAUUAUGUAUAUUAAAUUGCAAACAUGAUUACAAUCUUAUUGUUGAUUAUUGAAUAUGCCUAACAAUCAUCAAUGACAAGUAAUGAAUGGGGUAAAUCUUGAAUUGUUGAGCUGUCAUAUCAUUCAAUUAUAAAUGUUGCUACUUAGAAGGGGUUGGAAAUUAAAUAAAUGGAAUAUUUUAGUUAAUAUAUUGAACUAUAUAUUCAG